GGUUUGUUGCCCAUAAUUCAUGAAUUCAGUUACCAUUGGAAAAAUAUCACGAACAUCUAUGGAUAUUUUUAUGUUUUUUUUUUUCCUUGUGUUUGGAGACUAGUCAUGAAUUUAGAAGAAAUUUCUGUUAUAGCAAAAGGAAUUGGAAAGAGGUGGUAAAUAAUAGACUCCUAAGAGAAAUAGGUAAAAGAAUUUCCCUUGCAAGAUUUACAAGUUGGUCCAUUUGUAGUCUGGGUAAAGUCCAUUUCUUGUGAUAGGAAUAAACAAGGAAAAAUGAGCAAGUUAAGCACUUUCAUGAAGAAUCACCUUUAAUUACUGUUGACCCCAAGUGUUGUUAUGUUACCUAAUUUUUCAAGUUUCUCAAUUAAGAAACCAACUAUAAAUAAUCACCAUGUAAAUAACAAGAAGAAGAGAAUAAAAGUGUAAAUUAUGCAUUAUGUGUACCUCUUCAUGGCCCUUCCUUUUUUGCAUAGAGGGAAAAAAAAAACCCUACUAAAUUAUUGAUAUGAUUGUGAGGAGUGGAAGUUUUCUUGUAAUAAAGAGUGAAUUCAGUUAAUUAAGGACCUCUAAUUCUAGUGACCUACUUAGAUAUCUUUGUAAUCUGAGGCUGCCUCAUGAUAAUCCAUUUAGGAUGACUUUCAUUGACUUUUGUUUAAAAUAAGACGAGCCUAAAAAAAUCUUGCUCUUCUUGUUGCAUGUUAGAUUGAAUAUGCACAUGCUAAUUACUCCUUGAGCCAACAGGUUGAUGUUGCAGAACUAAGAC
rnacentral:misc_RNA from 1 species